AUGACCACGGGGUCCGAGCCUGCGUUCAUCCUGCGGCUCCGCUUCCGGCCAGCCAGCUGUCAGCCAGGCGCCCGUCUACGACUGAGUUACUGCAUAGCCAUCACGUUUGAUCACCCCCAGCUCUAGUCUCCAAAUUUUGGCACAGCAACCUCCCAAGACUGUCCUCCUCACUCAGAAACAUUUCUCAAGUGUCUACAUGUUCUAGAAGGGGAAUUUUUCGGAGGUGGCCUCUUCUUCGGAAUAGUCCGACGGCAUCAGGCCUCUGAAGCAAGGGGAAGGGGAAGAGAAAAGCUGAAACACAAGGUUCAUCUGGUAAGUUUUACAUUAACCAUUACAAGCUGGACAGUAUAAGAAUGUGGCUUUUUUGGCUCAAAAAAAGUCUGAGUCUUGGUGUGGAAACGAGUACUUGGCUGUCCCACCACAGCUUUCUCGAGGUGGGACUGUCAGGGAAGUCUUGACUGGGGAGUAUGAUUUGUUUACCUAUCAG